GGAAAGGUUUACGGUGGAUACCUAGGCACCUAGAGACGUGGAAGGGCGUAGUAAUCGACGAAAUGCUUCGGGAAGUUGAAAAUAAGCAUAGAUCUGGAGAUUCCUAAAUAGGGAAACCUUUCGAACUGCUGCUAAAUCCAUGGGCUGGCAAGAGACAACCUGGCAAACUGAAACAACUUGGUAGCUAGAGGAAAUGAAAGCAAAAGCGAUUCCCGUAGUAGCGGCGGGUGAAAUGGGAGCAGCCUAAACCGUGAAAAUGACGUUGUGGGAGAGCAAUACAAGCGUCAUGCUGCUAGGCGAAGCAGCCCGAAUGCUACACCCAAGAUGAUGAAAGUCCAGUAGCCAAAAGCAUCACUAGCUUAUGCUCUGACCCGAGUAGCAUGGGGCACGUGGAAUCUCGUGUGAAUCAGCAAGGACAACCUUGCUAGGAUAAAUACUCAUGGGUGAUCGAUAGUAAAGUAGUACCGUGAGGGAAGGGUGUAAAGAACCCCCAUCGGGGAGUGAAAUAGAACAUAAAACCGUAAGCUCCCAAGUAGUGGGAGGAGCCAGGGCUCUGACCGCGUGCCUCUUAAAGAAUGAGCCGGCGACUCAUAGGCAGUGGCUUGGUUAAGGGAACCCACCGGAGCCGUAGCGAAAACGAGUCUUCAUAGGGAAAUUGUCACUGCUUAUGGACCCGAACCUGGGUGAUCUAUCCAUGACUAGGAUGAAGCUUGGGUGAAACUAAGUAGAGCNGGGUGAAACUAAGUGGAGGUCCGAACCGACUGAUGUUGAAGAAUCAGCGGAUGAGUUGUGGUUAGGGGUGAAAUGCCACUCGAACCCAGAGCUAGCUGGUUCUCCCCAAAAUGCGUUGAGGCACAGCAGUUGACUGGACAUCUAGGGGUAAAGCACUAUUUUAGUGUGGGCUGCGAGAGCGGUACCAAAUCGAGGCAAACUCUGAAUACUAGAUAUGACCUCAAAAUAAUAGGGGUCAAGGUCGGCUAGUGAGACGAUGGGGGAUAAGCUUCAUCGUCGAGAGGGAAACAGCCCGGAUCACCAGCUAAGGCCCCUAAAUGAUCGCUCAGUGAUAAAGGAGGUAGGGGUGUAGAGACAGCUAGGAGGUUUGCCUAGAAGCAGCCACCCUUGAAAGAGUGCGUAAUAGCUCACUGAUCAAGCGCUCUUGCGCCGAAGAUGAACGGGGAUAAGCCUCCGUGCGAGCGGUGGUGGACGAAGCGGAAGCGAGAAUGUCGGCUUGAGUAAUACAAACAUUGGUGAGAAUCAAAUACCCCGAAAACCUAAGGGUUCCUCUUCAAGGUUCAUCUACUGAGGGUGAGUCAGGGCCUAAGAUCAGGCCGAAAGGCAUAGUCGAUGGACAACAGGUGAAUAUUCCUAUACUUCCCCUUGUUGGUCCUGAGGGACGGAGGAGGCUAGGUUAGCCGAAAGAUGGUUAUCGGUUCAAGAACGUAUGGUGUCCCUGCUUUGUCAGGGUAAGAAGGGGUAGAGAAAAUGCCUCUAGCUAAUGUUUGAAUACCAGGUGCUACGUNCCAGGCGCUACGGCGCUGAAGUAACCCAUGCCAUACUCCCAGGAAAAGCUCGAACGACUUUGAGCAAGAGGGUACCUGUACCCGAAACCGACACAGGUGGGUAGGUAGAGAAUACCUAGGGGCGUGAGACAAUUCUCUCUAAGGAAAUCGGCAAAAUAGCCCCGUAACUUCGGGAGAAGGGGUGCCUCCUCACAAAGGGGGUCGCAGUGACCAGGCCCGGGCGACUGUUUACCAAAAACAUAGGUCUCCGCAAAGUUGUAAGACCAUGUAUGGGGGAUGACGCCUACCUAGUGCCCGAAGGUCAAGGAAGUGGUGAUCUGAUGACAGGGGAGCCGGUGAUCGAACCCCCGGUGAACGGCGACCAUAACUAUAACGAUCCUAAGGUAGUGAAAUUGCUUGUUAGGUAAGUUCCGACCCGCACGAAAGGCGUAAUGAUCUGGGCACUGUCUCGGAGAGAGGCUCGGUGAAAUAAACAUGUCUGUAAAGAUGCGGACUACCUGCAACUGGAUAGAAAGACCCUAUGAAGCUUCACUGUUCCCUGGGAUUGGCUUUGGGCCUUUGCUGCACAGCUUAGGUGGAAGGCGAAGAAGGCCUCCUUCCGGGGGGGGGGAGUCAUUAGUGAGAUACCACUCUUGAAGGGCUAGAAUUCUAAACUUGUAUGAGGACCUACGGGCCAAGGGACAGUCACGGGUAGAUAGUUUCUAUGGGGCAUAGGCCUCCAAAAGGUAACGGAGGCGUGCAAAGGUUUCCUCGGGCAGGACAGAGAUUGGCCCUCGAGUGCAAAGGAAGAAGGGAGCUUGACUGCAAGACCCACUCAUCGAGCUGGGAUGAAAGUCAACCUUAGUGAUCCGACGAUGCCAAGUGGAAGGGCCGUCGCUCAGCGGAUAAAAGUUUCUCUAGGGAUAAUAGGCUGAUCUUCCCCAAGAGCUCAGAUCGACGGGAAGGUUUGGUACCUCGAUGUCGGCUCUUCGCCACCUGGGGCUGUAUUAUGUUCCAAGGGUUGGGCUGUUCGCCCAUUAAAGCGGUACGUGAGCUGGUUUCAGAAUGUCAUGAGACAGUUCGGUCCAUAUCUGGUGUGGGAGUUAGAGCAUUGAGAGGACCUUUCCCUAGUACGAGAGGACUGGGAAGGACACACCUUUGGUGUACAAGUUAUCGUGCUCACGGUAAAUGUUGGGUAGCCAAGUGCGGAGCGGAUAACUGCUGGAAGCAUCUAAGUAGUAAGCCCACCCCAAGAUGAGUGCUCUCCUAUUCCAACUUCCCCAGAGUCUCCGGUAGCACAACCGAGACAACGAUGGGUUCUCUGCCCCUGCGGGGAUGGAGUGACAGAAGUUUUUUUGAUAAUUCAAGAGAAGGUCACGACGAGAUGAGCCAUUUACCAUUACGAUAGGUGUCAAGUGGAAGUGCAGUGAUGUAUGCAGCUGAUGCAUCCUAACAGACCGAUAGACUUGAAC
rnacentral:rRNA from 1 species